rnacentral:rRNA from 1 species
AGAGUUUGAUCCUGGCUCAGGAUGAACGCUAGCUACAGGCUUAACACAUGCAAGUCGAGGGGCAACAUGGUCUUAGCUUGCUAAGGCUGAUGGCGACCGGCGCACGGGUGAGUAACACGUAUCCAACCUGCCGUCUACUCUUGGCCAGCCUUCUGAAAGGAAGAUUAAUCCAGGAUGGCAUCAUGAGUUCACAUGUCCGCAUGAUUAAAGGUAUUUUCCGGUAGACGAUGGGGAUGCGUUCCAUUAGAUAGUAGGCGGGGUAACGGCCCACCUAGUCAACGAUGGAUAGGGGUUCUGAGAGGAAGGUCCCCCACAUUGGAACUGAGACACGGUCCAAACUCCUACGGGAGGCAGCAGUGAGGAAUAUUGGUCAAUGGGCGAUGGCCUGAACCAGCCAAGUAGCGUGAAGGAUGACUGCCCUAUGGGUUGUAAACUUCUUUUAUAAAGGAAUAAAGUCGGGAAUGCAUACCCGUUUGCAUGUACUUUAUGAAUAAGGAUCGGCUAACUCCGUGCCAGCAGCCGCGGUAAUACGGAGGAUCCGAGCGUUAUCCGGAUUUAUUGGGUUUAAAGGGAGCGUAGAUGGAUGUUUAAGUCAGUUGUGAAAGUUUGCGGCUCAACCGUAAAAUUGCAGUUGAUACUGGAUGUCUUGAGUGCAGUUGAGGCAGGCGGAAUUCGUGGUGUAGCGGUGAAAUGCUUAGAUAUCACGAAGAACUCCGAUUGCGAAGGCAGCCUGCUAAGCUGCGACUGACAUUGAGGCUCGAAAGUGUGGGUAUCAAACAGGAUUAGAUACCCUGGUAGUCCACACGGUAAACGAU